UACGUAGGCAGCGAGCGUUGUCCGGAUUUACUGGGCGUAAAGAGCGCGCAGGCGGUCGUUCAAGUCGAGUGUGAAAGCCCCCGGCUCAACUGGGGAGGGUCACUCGAUACUGAUCGACUCGAAGGCAGGAGAGGGUAGUGGAAUUCCCGGCGUAGUGGUGAAAUGCGUAGAUAUCGGGAGGAACACCAGUGGCGAAGGCGACUACCUGGCCUGUUCUUGACGCUGAGGCGCGAAAGCUAGGGGAGCAAACGGG
rnacentral:rRNA from 1 species